rnacentral:rRNA from 1 species
GCAGUCGCCGCGGUAACACGUAGGUGGCAAGCGUUGUCCGGAAUUAUUGGGCGUAAGGGGCUCGCAGGCGGUUUCUUAAGUCUGAUGUGAAAGCCCCUGGCUCAACCGGGGAGGGUCAUUGGAAACUGGGAAACUUGAGUGCAGAAGAGGAGAGUGGAAUUCCACGUGUAGCGGUGAAAUGCGUAGAGAUGUGGAGGAACACCAGUGGCGAAGGCGACUCUCUGGUCUGUAACUGACGCUGAGGAGCGAAAGCGUGGGGAGCGAACAGGAUUAGAUACCCCCGUAGUCCCUGUCUCUUAUAC